rnacentral:rRNA from 1 species
AUUGAACGCUGGCGGCAGGCCUAACACAUGCAAGUCGAGCGGAGCGGCGGACGGGUGAGUAAUGCCUAGGAAUCUGCCUGGUAGUGGGGGAUAACGUCCGGAAACGGACGCUAAUACCGCAUACUAUCAGAUGAGCCUAGGUCGGAUUAGCUAGAUGGUGGGGUAACGUCUCACCUAGGCGCCGAUCCCUAGCUGUUCUGAGAGGAGGACCAGCAACACUUGAACUGAGACACGGUCCAGACCUCUACGGUAGGCAGCAGUGGGGAAUAUUGCACCAUGGGCGCAAGCCUGAUGCAGCCAUUCCGCGUGUGUGAAGAAGGCCUUCGGGUUGUAAAGCACUUUCAGCGGGGAGGCGUUACCCGCAGAAGAAGCACCGGCUAACUCCGUGCCAGCAGCCGCGGUAAUUC